AGGAUUAUAGUUAAUUAUAACAUUUGGAUUGCAUACAAAAAGUAUUGAUACAUCAAUUAAUCUUA
rnacentral:tRNA from 1 species